ensembl:lncRNA
AAACGCGCUGAGUGGGAGUGAAGGUGGACGCUCGUCCACGGGACAAGGGGGGGGGGUCUGCGUCCCUCUACCUCAUCCUUCGGUCGUGCCUUUGGGAGGCAGAUCUUUCUGCCUGGGGUCUGAAAGUGGAUUUCUCCACCCAUUUCUGCCAGCUUUCGAGGAACUGGUACAGAAAAUCCUCCUUAAAAAAGAUGACGAACUUCUAUGGAUGGCAAUGGGAGAGUGUGAACAAAGCCAAGCCACGGGAUCCCCAAUUUCCAGCUUCAUGGACUGGCUAACUAGCAGGGUGCAGCUUCUACACACUUUGUUUCUUAUCUUCCCUCUUUAAAAUGCAAGUACUUCACAGCCAGCUGAGGAACAUGGGCACCCAGUCCGAGGCACGGGACUCCUAAUUAAACACGUAACUCUGAGACAUGACACCAAACUGCAGGCAGAGCUGGAGAAAAGACAAAUCUGUCAAUAAGGGGAAAAAAGAAAAAAGACUUUUCUGGAAGGAAAUAAACCAUUCUUUGCAGUGGCGCAGCUUACAUAUGGAUCACUCAGGCGACUUCACUGCGGCAGCUCGGUGAGCAUGGAUUAAUGCAGACAAGUAUCCUGUCUCCAUGAGCACAUGGCAGACUGUUCAUGCACUGAGACAGGGAGUAACUACCCACCUUCUCCUUUUGGGGAAACCAACAAGGCUGAUUUGGAUACAGCCUUGGGCAGCCUGAUCUAGUGAUUUAGUGGUUGGCAGCCCUGCCCACAACAAGGGCUUGGAACUGGAUAAUCUUUGAGGUCCAUUCCAACCUAAGCCAUUCUAUGAUUUCAAGCAGGAGCCACAGCCCCAUCACCCUUUCAGUGCAGUUGGGCUAACCUCAUGAAGACUACUGGCUUCAGCAGUCGUACCCGGCUGAGAGAACACUGGAACUGAGGAGAUCAAUAAUACAGAGGAUCUGGCCCAAGGUCAGAGCAGCCACUGGGCCUUUCACGGGGAGAAGCUAAUGAGAUGGAGGCAGAGCAAAUAUGGAUCUGGUUGGCUUCUCUGAUUAAAACAUCUCUGUAUUGUUUUCCCUGGAUUUUGGCAUUCUCUCCCCAAAACAAAAAACAGAGUGUUUUGCUGGAACAUGAUUUGAGAAAAGCACUUAAGGUAAUCUCUUAUUUGGGAGAGUAAUCAUAUCACAGUAGCAAAUAAACAAUAU